rnacentral:rRNA from 1 species
CCUACGGGAGGCUGCAGUGGGGAAUAUUGGGCAAUGGGCGCAAGCCUGACCCAGCAACGCCGCGUGAAGGAAGAAGGCUUUCGGGUUGUACACUUCUUUUCUCAGGGACGAAGAAAGUGACGGUACCUGAGGAAUAAGCCACGGCUAACUACGUGCCAGCCGCCGCGGUAAUACGUAGGUGGCAAGCGUUAUCCGGAUUUAUUGGGUGUAAGGGGCGUGUAGGCGGGAGCGCAAGUCAGAUGUAAAAACUCAGGGCUCAACCCUGAGCCUGCAUUUGAAACUGUGUUUCUUGGGUGCUGGGGAGGCAAUCGGAAGUCCGGGGGAGGCGGGGAAAGGCGU